UUUUGUUACAGUAAGUUCCAAUAGUGCAAAAUGACAUUAAUAACUGACCAAUCGAAAACCUGGAUUAUACACAACCCUUGUUAAAAAUCGUUCAAGGUAACAAUUUAAAAGAAGAUUCUCAACCAGCAGGACCCCAUCAUAUGGAAUCACCAGAGAUUGUAACAGCUAAUAAUGUCAUUAUCUCGAACAUGUCUCCACCAUCAUGUGUUACACUAGAAGAGAUCCAUGCUCAUUUUCACUCAAUACUGAUCCAAGGAUGGUGUUAUUUUGCUUGUGAUGAAGAGUUGAUAUUAUAUAAGAUAUGAAUUUUACUAUUUCCAAUAAUCUUUCAGUGAAGGUUUCUUUCUCUCAACGACCAGAAAUUGCUAUUGAUGAUACUAUAUCAUCUAUAGAAGAUAUAAAAAUGUAUAAUAUGGAAACUCUGCAAGCCACUAUCUUAUGUGAAGGAACUGACAUACACUAUAGGUACGAUAUAUUUUCUUUAAUUUCUUUUAAUAUAAAUAAAAAUCUCAUACUAUUACACAUUAGGUGAAAAUUGAAAAUAAACUUAAAGAUUCACCUAAAUCGAGGCUCCAUCUAGAACUGUGACAGCUGAAGUAAAAACAAGCAUCAAGUACAUCUUUUAGUAGUAGUGUGAAAAGAAAGAGAGUAUCUACAUUACCUUUGAAAAAUUCCAAAUCACCUUAUAAGUCAAUAGAUAUGUUUUUUAGGUAGCAGAUUUUUUUUGUAAUUAUCUAAGUGUAUGCAAAUGAACUUGUAAAUAAUGUAAAUACAUUUAUAAAGCAAU